rnacentral:lncRNA from 1 species
CCGGCAAGAAAGCAGAGCUCCGGAAAGCUAAGAAAGGGAAAUCCUCAUCUGGGUCCGGGUCAGGAAUGUACCUUCCUCCAGUUCCUUUAAAAGAAUCGGUUUCUGGUGGAUUAAAAGUGGAACUCGGGUUUAGCCCGUAUAGUGAACGGGUAAACGGGAGGAUCGCAAUUCUGGGGUUAUCAGCUUUGUUAUUAGUAGAGCUUGCAACGGGUAAAAGUGUAAUCAACUAUCACACACCAGCAAUUGUGUUGAUUCAGGUUUAUUUUGUAACCGCGGCUACUG